rnacentral:rRNA from 1 species
CAAUAGCGUAUAUUAAAGUUGUUGCAGUUAAAGCUCGUAGUUGGAGUUCAGAGUGAGCUCGUCCGGUCGGCCUUAUGGGUCAGAACUGGUUGACUCUCUCUUGUUUGUGGAUCCUGUCAGCAGUUAACUCUGUUGAUGUGGAGUCCACAUCGUUUACCUUGAAAAUUAGAGUGUUCAAAGCAGGCGCUUGCUUGAAUAUAUUAGCAUGGAAUAAUGGAAUAGGACUUUGGUGCUAUUUUGUUGGUUUAUGGGACCGAAGUAAUGAUUAACAGGGACAGUUGGGGCCGUUUAUAUUUCGUUGUCAGAGGUGAAAUUCUUGGAUUUACGAAAGAUAAACUUCUGCGAAAGCAUUCGGCAAGGAUGUUUUCAUUGAUCAAGAACGAAAGUUAGGGGAGUCGAAGAUGAUUAGAU